UACGAAGGGGGCUAGCGUUGUUCGGAAUUACUGGGCGUAAAGCGCACGUAGGCGGAUAUUUAAGUCAGGGGUGAAAUCCCAGAGCUCAACUCUGGAACUGCCUUUGAUACUGGGUAUCUCGAGUAUGGAAGAGGUGAGUGGAAUUCCGAGUGUAGAGGUGAAAUUCGUAGAUAUUCGGAGGAACACCAGAAGCGAAGGCGGCCAACUGGCCCAAUACUGACGCUGAGGCGCGAAAGCGUGGGGAGCAAACAGG
rnacentral:rRNA from 1 species